CUCAGAGAGAAUGGAUGACAGCUGCAGAGGAAGGGGUGUCGCCCUGUCUCUAGGUGACAGGAAGACCUGGUUUGUUUACGUCUCCCAGACAGUGAAAGCCACGUGGGAAAAGACACAGGUAGGUGCCUUCCCAUGUGGACCGUGCAGAGCGUGAGUACGCUGAGUUCCACAUCAGUGUCACUGAGAAGCAGAGCAGUUCUGAGCUGGGGGAGACCUGCACAUGGGUCAGAGCCACGCUACAGACUGUGGAAAGGCAGCAGUCAUGGGUAAGGGGAGAACAGUGGGGCUCGGAACAGUGAGAAAGACACGCCCAGGCUGACUCGGUUAGUAAGCCGUUUGGGGAACAUGGGCUAUCUCUGCUGUAACAACUGAUUCUUCAGACUUUAGUUUUCUUACCUGUGAAACAGCGGUUGCUGGGUAGUGAGCGCCCUUGCCUCCUCAUGCUCUGUGAUUCUGGAGGCCUCGUUUUCUACAAGAAUAACGCUGGAUGGCUUAAGUCACCUCCUCACCCUUCUUUUAUUAUUAUUAUUAUUAUUAUUAUUAUUAUUAUUAUUAUUAUUAUUUCUUUGGGAGUUACACAUCCUGCUCAUUUCCCAGUCCUUCUGUAUCUGCCCUCCACCCUUGUAGCCUCCCCCACAAAAGAAAAAGAAAAACAAUAACAGAUAAAACUUCUUACCAGCCCGUCUAGGCAACAACCUGCUCCUCUAUCAAUCCCCAUCUUCUGUCACACCCGCCGGAGUUGCCGAGUCUCCAGCUCUGCCAUACAUCUUUCCUGCCCCUCCAUCAUACGUUCGCUGGCCGUAGUGGCAUUGGGAGCUGUGGUGUGUCACACUGUAGACCCUUCUGUCCAACAGCUUUACUUCCGAAUAUUCAGUGCAGUGCGUCAUUGGUCUGGUUCAAGGCUUCUGGUUUCUGCUACUUUAUCAAUACUGGACCCUCUCUGAGAUCUCAGAUAUCCUGCUGAUGCCCAAGGUCACGGAGACCCCAUGGUUAUGGCUCCCCAACCCGCCCCUUCACCAGCUCCAGCAGUUCAUCGAUGGGACAUGAAAAAGCGUGUUCCCAGUUCUGAAAAUGUGCGGUGACUUAGGUUACAUCUUACAAACGCAAGGGUUUGUAUCCGGAGCAGAGACCAGAUUUCAUGACUAUAACCGGAAAUCUCAGACACAGAUGAAUCACAUAACACAUCACUUCAGCCACAAGAGUAGCCUACAGUUAGCAUUUAUCCUACGGUGGGUUGAGAUCCACAUGAGGUCUACGCACAGGCAUUAGUUCCUGUCUUUGGCCAUGCUGUUCACUUGCUAAAAGAAUCGGGUCAUCGGUGGUACUACGGAGUUUCCCGCAUUUCAGACUGCCUUACUGCAUUCUUGUGGUGUUUUCGCCAAGGACCCUCAUUCCUUUCAAUUGAGAAAUGGACUUAGAGACCACAGUCUCUGGUCAAGGGGUAUUCCUUGUCCCUAAAUUGUCAUUGUUUAUAGUUUUUUGUUUUGUUUUGUUUUCAGAAUAAACAGUUGGA